AUCCCCCCGGACCAGCAGCGUCUCAUCUUUGCUGGCAAGCAGCUUGAGGAUGGCCGCACCCUGGCCGACUACAACAUCCAGAAGGAGUCCACCCUCCACCUUGUGCUCAGGCUCAGGGGAGGCAUGCAGAUCUUCGUCAAGACCUUGACUGGCAAGACCAUCACCCUUGAGGUCGAGUCGUCUGACACCAUUGACAAUGUCAAGGCCAAGAUCCAGGACAAGGAGGGCAUCCCCCCGGACCAGCAGCGUCUCAUCUUCGCUGGCAAGCAGCUUGAGGAUGGCCGCACCCUGGCCGACUACAACAUCCAGAAGGAGUCUACCCUCCACCUUGUGCUCAGGCUCAGGGGAGGCAUGCAGAUCUUCGUCAAGACCUUGACUGGCAAGACCAUCACCCUUGAGGUCGAGUCGUCUGACACCAUUGACAAUGUCAAGGCCAAGAUCCAGGACAAGGAGGGCAUCCCCCCAGACCAGCAGCGUCUCAUCUUCGCCGGCAAGCAGCUGGAGGAUGGCCGCACCCUUGCUGACUACAACAUCCAGAAGGAGUCCACCCUCCACCUUGUGCUCAGGCUCAGGGGAGGUAUGCAGAUCUUCGUCAAGACCCUGACCGGCAAGACCAUCACCCUCGAGGUCGAGUCCUCGGACACGAUCGACAACGUGAAGGCCAAGAUCCAGGACAAGGAGGGCAUCCCCCCGGACCAGCAGCGUCUCAUCUUCGCCGGCAAGCAGCUGGAGGACGGCCGCACCCUUGCCGACUACAACAUCCAGAAGGAAUCCACCCUCCACCUUGUGCUUAGGCUCAGGGGAGGUAUGCAGAUCUUCGUCAAGACCCUGACUGGCAAGACCAUCACACUUGAGGUCGAGUCCUCGGACACGAUCGACAAUGUGAAGGCCAAGAUCCAGGACAAGGAGGGCAUCCCCCCGGACCAGCAGCGUCUCAUCUUCGCUGGCAAGCAGCUGGAGGACGGCCGCACCCUUGCCGACUACAACAUCCAGAAGGAGUCCACCCUCCACCUUGUGCUCAGGCUCAGGGGUGGUAUGCAGAUCUUCGUCAAGACCCUGACCGGCAAGACCAUCACGCUUGAGGUCGAGUCCUCGGACACGAUCGACAACGUGAAGGCCAAGAUCCAGGACAAGGAGGGUAUCCCCCCGGACCAGCAGCGCCUCAUCUUCGCCGGCAAGCAGCUGGAGGAUGGCCGCACCUUGGCUGACUACAACAUCCAGAAGGAGUCCACCCUUCACCUGGUUCUCAGGCUCAGGGGUGGGAUGCAGAUCUUCGUGAAGACCCUGACUGGCAAGACCAUUACCCUUGAGGUUGAGUCGUCCGACACUAUUGACAACGUGAAGGCGAAGAUCCAGGACAAGGAGGGCAUCCCCCCGGACCAGCAGCGUCUGAUCUUUGCUGGUAAGCAGCUUGAGGAUGGCCGCACCCUUGCGGAUUACAACAUCCAGAAGGAGUCCACACUCCACCUGGUGCUCCGCCUCCGUGGUGGCCAGUAAGUCCUCAGCCAUGGAGCUGCUGCUGUUCUAGGGUUCACAAGUCUGCCUAUUUGUCUUCCCCAAUGGAGCUAUGGUUGUCUGGUCUGGUCCUUGGUCGUGUCCCGUUUCAUUGUGUACUAUUUAC
rnacentral:lncRNA from 1 species